CUGAAAUCAAGCGGGAUUACCCGCUGAACUUA
rnacentral:rRNA from 1 species